rnacentral:tRNA from 1 species
GCCUCGGUAGCUAAGCUCGGCCAUAGCAGCGGUUUCGUAAACCGCAGGUCGCGGGUUCAAAUCCCGCCCGGGGCU